GACGAACGCUGGCGGCGUGCCUAAUACAUGCAAGUCGAGCGCUAAAGGCCUGUACUUGUGCCAACUUGGUGAGCAGCACACGUGUGAGUCACGCGUGUGGCCUCUCCCUUUCAUCGGGGUACAACCUUUGGAAACGAAUUCUAAUACCGCAUAAAAACUUUAAACAUAAUGUGUAUGUUUGAAUGACGCCAGUUCAUCACUCAAAGAUGAUCCCUCGUUGUAUUAGCUAGGUGGUGAGGUAAAGGCGCACCAAGGCGUUGUUAAAUAGCCGACCUGAGAGGGUGGUCGGCCAGACUGGGACGGAGACCCGGCCCAAAGUGAUACAGGGGGCAGCAGUAGGGCAUCUUCGGCAAUGGACGAAAGUCAGAGCGAGAAACGCCGAGGGAGUGAAGAAGAAUGUCGGAUCGUAAAAGACUGUUGGUGGGGAAGAAAGUGGGUGAGAGUGGAAAGCUGAUUAAGUGACGGUAACUAGCAAGAAAGGGACGGCUAACUACGUG
rnacentral:rRNA from 1 species